rnacentral:rRNA from 1 species
CACGUAGGGUGCGAGCGUUGUCCGGAAUUAUUGGGCGUAAAGAGCUCGUAGGCGGUGUGUCGCGUCGGCCGUGAAAACCUGCAGCUUAACUGUGGGCUUGCGGUCGAUACGGGCAUCACUGGAGUUCGGCAGGGGAGACUGGAAUUCCUGGUGUAGCGGUGAAAUGCGCAGAUAUCAGGAGGAACACCGAUGGCGAAGGCAGGUCUCUGGGCCACUACUGACGCUGAGAAGCGAAAGCAUGGGGAGCGAACAGG